AAGGACAGGCAAACUUAAUUUAAUUUGGAACUGUCAAACCUCGUGGCUUUAGAUGCCAGUCUUGAGCAUAUUAUGUUUAAAUUUG